rnacentral:rRNA from 1 species
GUCCACACCGCCCGUCACACCGAGGGGGUGGGGAGCGCGCGGGGUGGUCUUUGGCGACCGGAAGGAAGCAGACUACUAAGGUGAAACUCGUGAAGGGGGUGAAGUCGUAACAAGGUAGCCGUAUCGGAAGGUGCGGCUGGAUCACCUCCUUU